CUGUUUCACCACUUGAGGAGAAAACUGGAGUUCAGGCAGACACUGAAUCAUGAUGCAUCUACUGGCUGCCUCAUGGCUGCUGCCUUCUGGUGCACACUCAUUAGUCAACUGCUGGACAGGAUGAUCUUGCUGUUGAAAGGAAGAGGCUUACCCACCGGCCAGAAAGCUGAGACACCGCCGAAAAGCUUGCACUCUUCGAGGAGCUGGUCUGACAACUCCAAGUACUCCCCGGAAGUGAAGACUACUUGGGGGACUUUUUGCUAACUAAAUCACCACCACUACCACCACCACCACACCAUAAAACUCACCCACCAAGAGACCAGGUCCCUAUGACUCAAGCCGCACAGCCAGAGGGACAGUACUAACUGCAGGAGCGUUCCAGUAUCAGCUGCUCUACAUAUCACUCCUCCAGAUGGCAUGCCGCUGGGUCUGUGAGUCCAGCCUUCCACGGUGGAGAUGUCACCACUGACCUAUAAUACUCAGAAUGACACACUGUCUCUGCAGGUGGCCCCUUGACGUGCUUCACAGCAGAGUGUUAAAAACAAGAUAAACAGUACUGUUUAUUUACUUUUUACAAUGCUGUUAAAACAAAUGCCUUGAAUGGAACCCUGGCGGCUGCAGUCUGCUUGCCAGUCCUGGGAAGUACAAAGUGCCUAUGUGAAAUCUGUUUCCAAAUUCCCAAUUGUAGGUGUGCUGAUAGCUCUUUUGCUCACACACACACACACCCAUCUCAGAGACUCCGGCUGUGUGUGGUUGAUCCCAAAUAGUCCUCUGAUUCCGUUCUUAAUUUGUGAUAAAAUGUGUGAUAUAGGAAAGAAGCUGUUGGCAAUUGAUUUUAGAAAUUUCUAGUUCAUCACUCAUCUUCCCAGCUGUGUUAUCAUCAGAUUACUCAUCUUCCCGCCCACGCAAUCAUCAGAUCACUCACUGUACACAUUAAGAUGGAUAUACUUUUUUUUUUUUUUCCGGCACUGGGAAUCGAACUCACGACCUCGUGCUUGCCAGGCAGGCACUGUGCAACUGAGCUAAAUCCUCAGCCCUAAGAUGAAGCACAGUAAGGAGGACAUAUGCCACGGACCAGAGGUGUAGCUCAGGACUUGUCUACGCACGCAGGAGGCCUUGCGCUCCAUCCCUAGAGCGACCCCACACACAUACUCAAGAAGCUAUAGCCACAGUCCAAAAGGAACACGACAUGACAACAAAAAAUCAUCUUGGCAAUCCACUGAACAAGGGAAAACUUUUCUCAGCACUGUAAAGAAAAAUAGUAAAAUCAAGAAAGAAGUUUAAAAGACAAUUUACAGGACAAUGAAAAUUCAAACAUUGAAUUCUGUUUUAUACAAGUAGGCUUUACUACUCAUGUCCCUUUUACAGAAAAACAAACAAAAAUAUCCAGUGAUUUUGAGAUGUUUUGGGGGAACAGUCCCUAUACUUAACUUGAAAAGCAAAGUUACUAGCAAUCACAAAAGUAUUGCUAGUGUGUUCACUUCCUAGGCCUCCAGCGAGAACUGUGUCUAGCAGGAAGUUUGAAGCACUUAAAAACCACAGACAUACACAUGAUCGCUCUUAGAAAGUACUUUUCUUAUAAACCCUAGGUUUUUUUGUUUUGUUUUGUUUUGUUUUUGGUACCAGGAAUCAAACUCAGCACCUUGCGCUUGCCAGGCAGGUGCUUGUGCCGCUGAGCUAUAUCCCUGGCUCAACCCUAUGUUUUUAGCUGGACCAGCUUAAACAAUUAGGCAGGUUCUUAUCUUCAACCACUGAACCUUUCUUCUCUACAAAACAUUCCUCUUCAUGUUAGUGAAAAGCUGUAGUCUCUCAUCCAUGGGAAGGGCGAAACAGCUCCUUGUUUCAGGUGGACCAACUCUUUCCUUUUUAUUAUUUUGGUACUUGGAAUGAAGCACUGAGCUAUAUCUCCAGGUUUUUUUAGGUCACUAAAUUGUCUAGGGUGGGAUUCAACUUGAGAUCUUCCUGCCUCAGCCUCCGUCACUUAUUUUGAGGCUAUUGAUAUGUGAACAACCUCCUCAUUAAAUGCCUGGCUGUCCACCCUGUGUAAGUGGGUCACUCAGAAGCUCUAUGUAUAUGGUGACGUUUGCAACUGUGGACUUCAUGGUUUAAUCUGAAAACACCUCCUGGAUGCGCUGAAUGGCCAACGACAGUCAACCACACUACCUACGGUCUUCAGCACCAGCAGGGUUUGAAUCAUCAGAGCUGUCAUACUCGACCAGACUCCGAGAAGCCUGGGAAGACAGAGCAUGACCUCUCACGGUACGGGUCUCCUGGGACAUCAC